rnacentral:rRNA from 1 species
AACGAACGCUGGCGGCAUGCCUAACACAUGCCAGUCGAACGAGACCUUCGGGUCUUGUGGCGCACGUGUGCGUAACGCGUGGUAACCUGCCCUUAGGUUCGGUAUAACUCCCCGAAAGGGGUGCUAAUAACGCAUAAUGUCUUCGGACCAAAGAUUUCUCGCUUUUGGAUGGGCCCGCGUUGGAUUCGCUAGUUGGUAGGGUAAAAGCCUACCAAGGCGACGAUCCAUAGCUGGUCUGAUAGGAUGAUCAGCCACACUGGGACUGCGACACGGCCCAGACUCCUACGGGAGGCAGCAGUGGGGAAUAUUAGACAAUGGGCGAAAGCCUGAUACAGCAAUGCCGCGUGAGUGAUGAAGGCCUUAGGGUUGUAAAGCUCUUUUACACGGGAUGAUAAUGACAGUACCGGGAGAAUAAGCACCGGCUAACUCCGUG